rnacentral:rRNA from 1 species
UACGAAGGGGGCUAGCGUUGCUCGGAAUUAUUGGGCGUAAAGGGCGCGUAGGCGGACAGUUUAGUCAGAGGUGAAAGCCCAGGGCUCAACCUUGGAAUUGCCUUUGAUACUGGCUGUCUUGAGUUCGGGAGAGGUGAGUGGAAUGCCGAGUGUAGAGGUGAAAUUCGUAGAUAUUCGGCGGAACACCAGUGGCGAAGGCGACUCACUGGCCCGAUACUGACGCUGAGGCGCGAAAGCGUGGGGAGCAAACAGG